rnacentral:rRNA from 1 species
AUUGAACGCUGGCGGCAGGCUUAACACAUGCAAGUCGAGCGGAGAGAGGUAGCUUGCUACUGAUCUUAGCGGCGGACGGGUGAGUAAUGCUUAGGAACCUGCCUAUUAGUGGGGGACAACAUUUCGAAAGGAAUGCUAAUACCGCAUACGUCCUACGGGAGAAACCAGGGGAUCCUCGGACCUGGCGCUAAUAGAUGAGCCUAAGUCGGAUUAGCUAGUUGGUGGGGUAAAGGCCUACCAAGGCUACGAUCUGUAGCGGGUCUGAGAGGAUGAUCCGCCACACUGGGACUGAGACACGGCCCAGACUCCAACGGGAGGCAGCAGUGGGGAAUAUUGGACAAUGGGCGGAAGCCUGAUCCAGCCAUGCCGCGUGUGUGAAGAAGGCCUUAUGGUUGUAAAGCACUUUAAGCGAGGAGGAGGCUACUUAGUUAAUACCUAGAGAUAGUGGACGUUACUCGCAGAAUAAGCACCGGCUAACUCUGUGCCAGCCGCCGCCGUAACAC